GACUGUGAUAGUCAUGAGCCAGGGUAAGCUUGGUGCUACUUCUUUGUUUCUUCAUUGUUGAAGAGUAAUGGAUAGUUUUUGAAUAUUGUGAAGUGAGUCAGUGGAAUAAAUUAGAGAUUGAUUUAUAAGAUAUUGAGUAUGUAAUUGGAGUAUUGUGUGGUUGGAUUAUUGUGAGAAGAUAUUGAGAGUUGGUUAUCAAAUUUUGUGGGAGAUUGUUAAUGGAUGGAAGAUUAUGAUUAUUGGUUAUUGAGAGCUAUGUGUUUCGAAGGAAGAAGUCUGUGAUUACAAAAAUUAUGUGAAGACAGAUUGUUUGGAGUGAAAGUCUAUUAUUUUUAGUGUUGGAUAGAAUUUAUGUAUUUCAAGCGAUCUUUUAAGAUAGUGCGAGAGUUGUGCUUUGUUGUUAUCAGUGAUUGUAAAAUA
rnacentral:lncRNA from 1 species